AUUGAACGCUGGCGGCAGGCCUAACACAUGCAAGUCGAGCGGAUGAAGGGAGCUUGCUCCUGGCUGCAGCGGCGGACGGGUGAGUAAUGCCUAGGAAUCUGCCUGGUAGUGGGGGAUAACGUCCGGAAACGGGCGCUAAUACCGCAUACGUUCUGAGGGAGAAAGUGGGGGUUCUUCGGACCUCACGCUAUUAGAUGAGCCUAGGUCGGAUUAGCUAGUUGGUGGGGUAAAGGCCUACCAAGGCGACGAUCCGUAACUGGUCUGAGAGGAUGAUCAGUCACACUGGAACUGAGACACGGUCCAGACUCCUACGGGAGGCAGCAGUGGGGAAUAUUGGACAAUGGGCGAAAGCCUGAUCCAGCCAUGCCGCGUGUGUGAAGAAGGUCUUCGGAUUGUAAAGCACUGUAAGUUGGGAGGAAGGGCAGUAAGUUAAUCCCUUGCUGUUUUGACGUUACCAACAGAGUAAGCACCGGCUAACUUCGUG
rnacentral:rRNA from 1 species